CCUACGGGGAGCAGCAGUCGAGAAUCAUUCACAAUGGGGGAAACCCUGAUGGUGCGACGCCGCGUGGGGGAAUGAAGGUCUUCGGAUUGUAAACCCCUGUCAUGUGGGAGCAAAUUAAAAAGAUAGUACCACACGAGGAAGAGACGGCUAACUCUGUGCCAGCAGCCGCGGUAAUACAGAGGUCUCAAGCGUUGUUCGGAAUCACGGGGCGUAAAGCGUGCGUAGGCUGUUUCGUAAGUCGUGUGUGAAAGGCGCGGGCUCAACCCGCGGACGGCACAUGAUACUGCGAGACUAGAGUAAUGGAGGGGGAACCGGAAUUCUCGGUGUAGCAGUGAAAUGCGUAGAUAUCGAGAGGAACACUCGUGGCGAAGGCGGGUUCCUGGACAUUAACUGACGCUGAGGCACGAAGGCCAGGGGAGCGAAAGGGAUUAGAUACCCUUGUAGUC
rnacentral:rRNA from 1 species